rnacentral:misc_RNA from 1 species
CCAAGCGUACGCAUUGCUUAAACUGCGUGUUCGAAUCCCCGCAGGACCCCACAUCCGUGGCCGGAAAUGCGGGUCGAGGCGAACUAAACCCUUGACUACGAGUACCCAUGUUGUUCCCUCGGCGGGCUCGCCCCCGCCGACGGGCACCUACAAACCCCUUUUUGCAGUAGCAGUAUACCUCUGAUCGUGGGCAUUUAGAAUCUUUA